rnacentral:rRNA from 1 species
UACAUGUAAGUCGAACGAACGGAGGAAGAGCUUGCUCUUCCAAAGGAAAGUGGCGGACGGGUGAGUAACACGUGGGCAACCUGCCUGUAAGUUGGGGAUAACUCCGGGAAACCGGGGCUAAUACCGAAUGAUAAAGUUUGGCGCAUGCCANGCUUUUGAAAGANGGUUUCGGCUAUCGCUUACANNNGGGCCCGCGGUGCAUUAGCUAGUUGGUAGGGUAAUGGCCUACCAAGGCAACGAUGCAUAGCCGACCUGAGAGGGUGAUCGGCCACACUGGGACUGAGACACGGCCCAGACUCCUACGGGAGGCAGCAGUAGGGAAUCUUCCGCAAUGGACGAAAGUCUGACGGAGCAACGCCGCGUGUAUGAAGAAGGUUUUCGGAUCGUAAAGUACUGUUGUUAGAGAAGAACAAGGAUAAGAGUAACUGCUUGUCCCUUGACGGUAUCUAACCAGAAAGCCACGGCUAACUACGUGCCAGCAGCCGCGGUAAUACGUAGGUGGCAAGCGUUGUCCGGAUUUAUUGGGCGUAAAGCGCGCGCAGGCGGUCUUUUAAGUCUGANGUGAAAGCCCCCGGCUUAACCGGGGAGGGUCAUUGGAAACUGGAAGACUGGAGUGCAGAAGAGGAGAGUGGAAUUCCGCGUGUAGCGGUGAAAUGCGUAGAUAUGUGGAGGAACACCAGUGGUGAAGGUGACUCUCUGGUCUGUAACUGACGCUGA